UACGUAGGGGCUAGCGUUGUCCGGAAUCAUUGGGCGUAAAGCGCGCGUAGGCGGCCCGGUAAGUCCGCUGUGAAAGUCAAAGGCUCAACCUUUGAAUGUCAGCGGAUACUGCCGGGCUAGAGUCCGGAAGAGGCGAGUGGAAUUCCUGGUGUAGCGGUGGAAUGCGCAGAUAUCAGGAAGAACACCCGUGGCGAAGGCGGCUCUCUGGGACGGUACUGACGCUGAGACGCGAAAGCGUGGGGAGCGAACAGG
rnacentral:rRNA from 1 species